rnacentral:rRNA from 1 species
UACAGAGGGGGCAAGCGUUGUUCGGAAUUACUGGGCGUAAAGGGCGCGUAGGCGGCCUUCUAAGUCGAACGUGAAAUCCCCGGGCCCAACCCGGGAACUGCGUCCGAUACUGGAAGGCUUGAAUCCGGGAGAGGGAUGCGGAAUUCCAGGUGUAGCGGUGAAAUGCGUAGAUAUCUGGAGGAACACCGGUGGCGAAGGCGGCAUCCUGGACCGGCAUUGACGCUGAGGCGCGAAAGCCAGGGGAGCAAACGGG